CAAAAGACAAAGUUUAAUACAGGUUCAUUCAUUGGGUUUCAGAAAAAGUUCAUUAGGAACGUUUUCUGUGAAUGUCAAAGAUGCAUGCCCUGUUCAGGAUCUUCAUCAAAUGACUCGGCGAACCUCUGGUCUUCUCGUCCCUCCAAACUGGCGAUCUGGAAGGCAUGGAGAGGCCCACGUCAUUCUUGGCGCAGACUCUGAAGUAGUACUCCUGGCCGGGGACGAUGUUGCAGACGGUGCACUUGUUGUUGAAGAGGCGGUCGGCCACGGUCUCCCAGGCCCGUUUGACCGGGUCGCGCUUGGACACCGCGUAGUGGAGCCGGUCGUCGCGCUUCUCGUCCGGGGACGGUGUCCAUGACAACGUCACGGUGCCGGCCACGUUCUGCUCCAGCUCCACGGGCCCCGGGGGUUUGGGCUCAUCUGGAACCAGGUAAAAAGUUCAUGAGAACAGCAGACUGCAGAGAUGCAGUCACAGCCGCCGGACAGUCACUGCACUCACAGAAGCAGCGUGAGAAGAAUUGUGCUAAAAUGGCUGAGAGGAAUUCUCUCCAGCGUUGAA